CCUACGGGUGGCUGCAGUGAGGAAUAUUGGUCAAUGGGCGUAAGCCUGAACCAGCCAAGUCGCGUGAGGGAUGAAGGUUCUAUGGAUCGUAAACCUCUUUUAUAAGGGAAUAAAGUGUGGGACGUGUCCUGUUUUGUAUGUACCUUAUGAAUAAGGAUCGGCUAACUCCGUGCCAGCAGCCGCGGUAAUACGGAGGAUCCGAGCGUUAUCCGGAUUUAUUGGGUUUAAAGGGUGCGUAGGGGGAAUAUCAAGUCAGCGGUAAAAAUUCGGGGCUCAACCCCGUCGUGCCGUUGAAACUGAUGUUCUUGAGUGGGCGUGAGGUAUGCGGAAUGCGUGGUGUAGCGGUGAAAUGCAUAGAUAUCACGAAGAACUCCGAUUGCGAAGGCAGCAUACCAGCGCCCAACUGACACUGAAGCACGAAAGCGUGGGUAUCAAACAGGAUUAGAUACCCCUGUAGUC
rnacentral:rRNA from 1 species